AGUGAACGCUGGCGGUAGGCCUAACACAUGCAAGUCGAACGGCAGCACAGGAGAGCUUGCUCUCUGGGUGGCGAGUGGCGGACGGGUGAGGAAUACAUCGGAAUCUACUCUGUCGUGGGGGAUAACGUAGGGAAACUUACGCUAAUACCGCAUACGACCUACGGGUAAAAGCAGGGGACCUUCGAGCCUUGCGCGAUUGAAUGAGCCGAUGUCGGAGUAGCUAGUUGGCGGGGUAAAGGCCCACCAAGGCGACGAUCCGUAGCUGGUCUGAGAGGAUGAUCAGCCAAACUGGAACUGAGACACGGUCCAGACUCCUACGGGAGGCAGCAGUGGGGAAUAUUGGACAAUGGGCGCAAGCCUGAUCCAGCCAUACCGCGUGGGUGAAGGAGGCCUUCGGGUUGUAAAGCCCUAUUGUUGGGAAAGAAAUCCAGCUGGCUAAUACCCGGUUGGGAUGACGGUACCCAAAGAAUAAGCACCGGCUAACUUCGUGCCAGCCGCCGCCGUAA
rnacentral:rRNA from 1 species